CACGUAGGGCGCGAGCGUUGUCCGGAAUUACUGGGCGUAAAGCGCACGUAGGCGGUCUUUUAAGUCGGGGGUGAAAUCCUGGAGCUCAACUCCAGAACUGCCUUCGAUACUGGAAGACUUGAGUCCGGGAGAGGUGAGUGGAACUGCGAGUGUAGAGGUGAAAUUCGUAGAUAUUCGCAAGAACACCAGUGGCGAAGGCGGCUCACUGGCCCGGUACUGACGCUGAGGUGCGAAAGCGUGGGGAGCAAACAGG
rnacentral:rRNA from 1 species